GCUGGUGUGUUGAGAAGCGGUUACACCCUCAAAGCUGCAGGAAUGCAGAGAACAUCAGAGGAUCGAUGAUAUCUCAGUCUGAGAGGCCUUUUCCUUAACAGGUUCAAUCUCUCCCAGACUCCUGCGGCCGUCUGGACGUCGGUGGUUAGCGGCUACAAAAAGUAUUUUUUGCAACUAAUCAACUGCAGAGGAGACAAUCUACUUCCUGUUUACACCGGUUCGCACAUGCUCAGUGAAGGUGAUUUGCUCAGUUUGUCCGACCAACAAACCAAAACAUAUUCAACAGCAAAAUAAGAAACAGUGCUGCAGCCUGAGAGAGAAAACAAGGACCCUUGAGUUAACCCCUUAAACAUUCAGCACAUCCAUGAUGAUUACACUCUGAUUACACUGGAGAAGGGACAG